AGAUGGCGUAAGCUAUCGCUUUUGGAUGGACCCGCGGCGUAUCAGCUAGUUGGUGAGGUAACGGCUCACCAAGCGCGAUGAUACGUAGCCGAACUGAGAGGAUGAUCGGCCACAUUGGGACUGAGACACGGCCCAAACUCCUACGGGAGGCAGCAGUAGGGAAUCUUCCACAAUGGACGCAAGUCUGAUGGAGCAACGCCGCGUGAGUGAAGAAGGCUUUCGGGUCGUAAAACUCUGUUGUUGGAGAAGAAUGGUCGGCAGAGUAACUGUCGUCGGCGUGACGGUAUCCAACCAGAAAGCCACGGCUAACUACGUGCCAGCAGCCGCGGUAAUACGUAGGUGGCAAGCGUUAUCCGGAUUUAUUGGGCGUAAAGCGAGCGCAGGCGGUUUUUUAAGUCUGAUGUGAAAGCCCUCGGCUUAACCGAGGAAGCGCAUCGGAAACUGGGAAACUUGAGUGCAGAAGAGGACAUUGGAACUCCAUGUGUAUCGGUGAAAUGCGUAGAUAUAUGGAAGAACACCAGUGGCGAAGGCGGCUGUCUGGUCUGUAACUGACGCUGAGGCUCGAAAGCAUGGGUAGCGAACAGGAUUAGAUACCCUGGUAGUCCAUGCCGUAAACGAUGAAUGCUAGAUGUUGGAGGGUUUCCGCCCUUCAGUGCCGCAGCUAACGCAUUAAGCAUUCCGCCUGGGGAGUACGACCGCAAGGUUGAAACUCAAAGGAAUUGACGGGGGCCCGCACAAGCGGUGGAGCAUGUGGUUUAAUUCGAAGCAACGCGAAGAACCUUACCAGGUCUUGACAUCUUUUGAUCACCUG
rnacentral:rRNA from 1 species